rnacentral:lncRNA from 1 species
GGAGGUACCCCACCGCGGGGUGGUGCUCUGACUGCGGGAACCGUUGAAGAGCUGCCCCCGGGGAGUCAGCGAGGCGCCACUGGUCUCUUAGACAUCUUCUCAAGAUUAUGCUAAGAGAAAUGACUGCACCCUUUUCCUGAGCUAUGGCAGUCAGACCUGGCAGUGGUAACUACUCUACAGAACUCCCAAACCUGGCAAGGAUGGUGCAGAUUUUGGCAGAUUAUGGCUUUGUCCCCACCCAGCACUGAUGAUAUUAUAAAGGGGAGGAGUCAGGAAGCCAUAACACCUCCCUCUCUCCAAAAGAAUAAAGUAGAUGCUGCUCAUACCUGGAAAAACCUUCACUCUGGUUAGCAUCACUGGCAACUGUAUUUCCAUGAGGAUUCUAAGGCCCCAGGAUUCUGUACAGGAUGUGUUGUUGUUUACUUUCUAUUUUAAUGAAAAUUGCAUAGUUUUAUCUUCUUCUUUUUAUCUUUCCAACUUGGGAGAUUUAUGGGAAAGAAAAAGACAAUAUUGGCCAUUGUUGAACAUUGUUUAUGUGGGUGAGAUCCCUUGGAUUUAACAAUUAAAACUUUACAAUUUGUGUGUUUAUGUGAUUGACUGGUAUAAAUCAGCUAAAAUAAAAUCCUUAAGUACA